AUCAUUAUCAGUGGGAGUAUCGUAGCCUAUGAGGUAAAUCCGAGGCGCGAUUAUUGCUGGUUGAAAACUUUACUACUACUACUACUAAUAAUAAUAAUAAUAAUAAUAAUAAUGUUAUUAACUGGUCGAAUAACAAUGAGUGGU